UGUGGAGUGAGGAGCCGGGCUGCUGGUGGGGAAUCUUUUUUCAGACCAGGAGUUGUUGAUUACAGCUAGAGCCUGCCAGGGCUUGAUGAUUGUCCCUAGAGGGGAGAGACUCUCGCUGUGCCUGUGAUUGAGAAGAGCCUACAUAACCCUGCAUAGAAGGCGCCCAGGCACACAUGCAAGUGUGAUCUGCUCCAGAGUAACCCAGGGAGGACAGAGGGUGUUACACAUACCUGCACCAGCUGUGCAUGCAGGGCACACCACCCUGCCUGGGACAUCCUCCUGCACCCGAGGGCUCAGAAGGUCCACUGCAACAUGGCAGGGGGACCAAGACC